rnacentral:rRNA from 1 species
GAGUUUGAUCCUGGCUCAGGACGAACGCUGGCGGCGUGCUUAACACAUGCAAGUCGAACGAGAAUCUACUGAAAGAGUUUUCGGACAAUGGAAGUAGAGGAAAGUGGCGGACGGGUGAGUAACGCGUGAGGAACCUGCCUUGAAGAGGGGGACAACAGUUGGAAACGACUGCUAAUACCGCAUGAUGCAUAAGGGUCGCAUGAUUCUUAUGCCAAAGAUUUAUCGCUUCAAGAUGGCCUCGCGUCUGAUUAGCUAGUUGGCGGGGUAACGGCCCACCAAGGCGACGAUCAGUAGCCGGACUGAGAGGUUGAACGGCCACAUUGGGACUGAGAUACGGCCCAGACUCCUACGGGAGGCAGCAGUGGGGAAUAUUGGGCAAUGGGCGCAAGCCUGACCCAGCAACGCCGCGUGAAGGAGAAGGCUUUCGGUAUGUAAACUUCUAUCAGCAGGAGAAAAUGACGGUACCUGACUAAGAAGCCCGGCUAACUACGUGCCAGCCGCCGCAGU